rnacentral:rRNA from 1 species
AGCUCUGUGAACUGGUAGCCUAAUUGGCUUACUGGUCUCAUGGUGCUCUUAUUUCUGGGGAACCAAAGUGCUCUUUAUUGAGUGCCUUGGCAAUCCAGGACCUUUACCUUGAAAAAAUUAGAGUGUUUAAGGCAGGCGUUUGCUUGAAUAUAUUAGCAUGGAAUAAUAGAAUAGGACUGUGGUUCUAUUUUGUUGGUUUCUAGGACCAAAGUA